rnacentral:lncRNA from 1 species
AGCCAGCACGUCUCGACUUCGGUCAGGGUGUGUCAUGUUUGAUUUAUCUGUUGAGAAUAAAUCUUACAUUGAUGAGAGGAGGGAUCUUGCAUGUGCUUAUAAGAGGUUUGGCUACUCCUCAUAUUGCCAAUUGGUUUUAUAAUAGAAUCCCAGCUUUCUUCAUGGUAUCAGGGCAGGUUGUCCCCCGUGUGAAGCCAAAAGGCCACACGUGAUCCACUUCACCCUGUUGUUGUUGUGUUAUCCAUGUGUUACGUGAGGGGACGUGUUGAGAAUAAAUCUCACAUUGAUGAGAGGAGAGACCUUGUAUGUGCUUAUAAGAGGUUGGACUACUCCUCGUAUUGCCAAUUAAUUUUAUGGUGGCACUCCAGCUUUCUUCAUUAUCAAAUCAGUUACUUAACCAACAUUUAGACAUUGGACUGGUGAAGAACAAUGCACUUGUUGGUGCUAAGGUUGUUGUAGCACUUGCGCAGAUUAGAGAACGUGAAAAUAAAGGUAGGUAACGUUUUGUUGUUUUGCUAUAAUAAUGAGAAAAAAUCCAUGUUUUUAUUGGAGAAAAUAUG